GCCAGUGUAGUGUAGUGAUUUAAGUGUUAGACUGCGACUCAAGAGAUGAGGGUUCAAAUCCCUGCUCAGCCA